rnacentral:rRNA from 1 species
GUAGGGGGCAAGCGUUAUCCGGAUUUACUGGGUGUAAAGGGAGCGCAGACGGUUGCGCAAGUCUGAAGUGAAAUCCCGAGGCUUAACCACGGGACUGCUUUGGAAACUGUGCGACUUGAGUAUCGGAGGGGCAGGCGGAAUUCCUAGUGUAGCGGUGAAAUGCGUAGAUAUUAGGAAGAACACCGGUGGCGAAGGCGGCCUGCUGGACGAAAACUGACGUUGAGGCUCGAAGGCGUGGGGAGCAAACAGGAUUAGAUACCCUGGUAGUCCACGCGGUAAACGAUGAAUACUAGGUGUUGGUGCCCAAAGGGCAUCGGUGCCGUCGCAAACGCAAUAAGUAUUCCACCUGGGGAGUACGUUCGCAAGAAUG